rnacentral:ribozyme from 1 species
UCGUAUCAAAUUCCUUGUUUGUGUGGCACCUACGAAAGCCCCUCACGGAGCAACUGGAUCCGCUCCUCAAGGCACACCAAUACGGUAUGGAGAGUGGUG